UGCAGAAGUGUGUGGUAGCUAUGCCGGA
rnacentral:piRNA from 1 species